UGACAAAAAUUAUUAACAAAAUUCUCAUAGCAAGGUUCUCGAAAAAAGUCCUUUCAAAUUUCAACCCCAAAUAUCCCGACUUAUUUGGGUUUGAGAAAUUUUUUUAUCAGAUCAAUUGUGGUGCUUUAGAAUUCAGUAUGUAACGGAAACGUAAACUUCCCAAAUGUUGACACCGUGGUCAUAUUGAUGUGAAGGUUGAUUUCUCAAUUUGUCGCGGUUAUUAGGGUUUGAUUUUACAAACUUCAUCAGAGUGAUGUAGCAGCAUCUGAAGCAAACAAGGAAAGAGAUGAUCCAAAAAUAAGGAGGAGAAGGAAGUCGAGGCCAAGAAAUACGAUGACGAAAAGGAUGAUGUGGCUUGACUUCUUUAGAAGUAGCCUAAACUCACUCUUACAAGGCCCAUGAUACCUGACUUUGAAACAAAUAACCGCGUUCACUCUUACAACGUGAAAAGCGCCGCCGAGCUUGAGGAGUUAGAAAAGAUUCCAAAAUUCAAGGCUAGGCCACUGAAUAAAAAGGUCGAUCAGUUUAGAUUUCUUAGUUUUGGACAAGUACCAUGGAUACCGCUUAUACCUGCAAUAACGAUUAAUGGUAGAGGAAAAUCAUAAUAGGAGAAGACACUUGGACAUUGUGGAGCGACGAGUGACAACAGUCUUCUGGGUACUGUUAUGUGCAUGUUUGAUUGAACUACCUUUACUGUUGGCGAUAAGCGGCUGAUCCCCAACAAAAGAGAAGAGAUUAAACUACAUCGAGAGAUUUUUACACAGUAUUAUGGAAACUCAAGGAGUCCUGAUUGUAGCUUCAAGCUUGCAGAUCAUACUGGGAUUUAGUCAAGUAUGGGGGCUUUCUUCGCUGCACACAUUAAAUUCUUUUCUAAAGAUUGUGCUGGUUGCAUUCAUCAGAAGUUAUGCAACUGGUUCUAAGCAUCCUGUCUCUAUGGAACUUGGUGGUAAAAUUCCAAUUGUAGGUUUUUGAAGUUACAGAUCUUGAUAAAGCUGCCGAGAUGACUAUUUUUGGUUGCUUUUGGACAAAUAGCCAAAUCUAUAGUGCAACACCUCCCCUUCUACUGCAUUAAUGAAGUUUAUGUGCUUAGGGCCUGCAGUGGUGUACUAAGAUUCGUCAUGGAAAGUGGUAACAAGGGUUGUUAGGUUGUUUGCUUAACUGUAGAGUUCUCUUGAUAUCCUGGUUACUUUGGAGCUUACACCUUACUGAGAGGCAUGAUAGUCUCAAAGCAUUUUUUAUAUGUUUCUUUUGGUUUGGCAUCAACUCUACAGUUUUAACAUUUCAAUUCUUGCCUGUCACACGUUGUCGGAACAUCGUCUAUUGGUUUAUCAAUUAGUUUAGCAUGUUGUUGUUUGAACUUACUAGCUAGCUUGGACAUAUAUUGUUCUGAACUCAAAAUUUCCUCUUUUUUUGUGUAAUUUUAAACCCAAUGGAUAAAAUGAAUGAAUGUUAAAAUUUUCAGUUUGAUUAUAAAUUUCAGUCAAAUUUGAAGUUGUA